rnacentral:rRNA from 1 species
CUGUUCUAUAAUCGAUAAUCCACGAUAUACCUAACCAUUUCUUGCUUUCAGCCUGUAUACCUCCGUCGUAAGCUUACCACUUGAAUGUAUGUAGUAAUGCUUAAGGGCCACACACCAAAACGUCAGGUCAAGGUGCAGCUCAUGAAAUGGAACCAAUGGGCUACAAUCUCUAACCUAGAACAAACGAAGUACCACAUGAAACACAGUAUGAAGGAGGAUUUAGCAGUAAACAAGGAAUAAAGAGCCUUAUUAAAUUCGGCCAUAGGAUGUGUACAAACC